GCGCCCGUAGCUCAGUCAGGUAGAGCAGCGGACUUUUAAUCCGUUGGCCGAUGGUUCGAAUCCAUCCGGGCGCACCA
rnacentral:tRNA from 1 species